UGGGGAAUAUUGGACAAUGGGGGGAACCCUGAUCCAGCAAUGCCGCGUGUGUGAAGAAGGCCUGAGGGUUGUAAAGCACUUUCAGAGGGGAGGAGGACUAUUAGGUUAAGAGCUAGAUAGUUGGACGUUACCCUCAGAAGCAGCACCGGCUAACUCCGUGCCAGCAGCCGCGGUAAUACGGGGGGUGCAAGCGUUAAUCGGAAUUAUUGGGCGUAAAGGGUGUCGAGGCGGUUGUAUUAGUCGUUCGUAAAAUCUACGAGCUUAACUUGUAGGCGGCGAACGAAACGGUACGACUUGAGGUUUGGAGAGGUGCGUGGAACUCACGGUGUAGGGGUGAAAUCCGUUGAUAUCGUGGGGAACACCAAAGGCGAAGGCAGCGCACUGGCCAAAAUCUGACGCUCACACACGAAAGCUAGGGUAGCGAAGAGGAUUAGAUACCCCAGUAGUCCCUGAGCGGGCUGGCAAGGCGCAU
rnacentral:rRNA from 1 species